UACGGAGGGUGCGAGCGUUGUCCGGAAUCACUGGGCGUAAAGGGCGCGUAGGUGGCGCGACAAGUCAACGGUGAAAGCUCGGCGCUCAACGCCGAGUCGGCCGUCGAUACUGUUGGGCUGGAGCACUGUAGAGGCUCAUGGAAUUCCGGGUGUAGCGGUGGAGUGCGUAGAGAUCCGGAAGAACACCGGUGGCGAAGGCGGUGAGCUGGGCAGUUGCUGACACUGAGGCGCGACAGCGUGGGGAGCAAACAGG
rnacentral:rRNA from 1 species